rnacentral:rRNA from 1 species
CUGCAGUCGGAGGCAGCACGGGAGCAUCCUGGUGGCGAGUGGCGAACGGGUGAGUAAUACAUCGGAACGUGUCCUGGAGUGGGGGAUAGCCCGGCGAAAGCCGGAUUAAUACCGCAUACGCUCUGUGGAGGAAAGCGGGGGAUCUUCGGACCUCGCGCUCAAGGGGCGGCCGAUGGCAGAUUAGCUAGUUGGUGGGGUAAAGGCCUACCAAGGCGACGAUCUGUAGCUGGUCUGAGAGGACGACCAGCCACACUGGGACUGAGACACGGCCCAGACUCCUACGGGAGGCAGCAGUGGGGAAUUUUGGACAAUGGGGGCAACCCUGAUCCAGCAAUGCCGCGUGUGUGAAGACGGCCUUCGGGUUGUAAAGCACUUUUGUCCGGAAAGAAAGCCUCGUCGCUAAUACCCAAGGGGGAUGACGGUACCGCGAAGAAUAACCACCGGCUAACUACCUGCCAGCAGCCGCCGUAAUACCUAGGGUGCGAGCGUUAAUCAGAAUUACUGCGCGUAAAGCGUGCGCAGGCCGUUCGCUAAGACCGAUGUGAAAUCCCCGGGCUUAACCUGGCAACUCCCCUGGUGACUGGUGGGCUAUAGUAUGCCUGAGGGCGGUAGAAUUCCAGUGUAUCCCCUGAAAUCCCCUAGAAAUCUUGAAGAAUUCCAAAUAACACAAGUAACACCGCGGCCCAUUCUGCCUUUUCUGACACAAACGCACGCAAACGCGCGGAGCCACAUGGACCAGAUACCCCUUAUAUUCCCCCCCUGUUACCCACAUUACAGGAUGUUAGUGGAUUGUUACCCCGUUUUCCCCCUUAAACUCACCAACCACCCCCCCCGGCGCUCACCCCCGCGA